rnacentral:rRNA from 1 species
GACGAACGCUGGCGGCGUGCUUAACACAUGCAAGUCGAACGGAAAGGCCCUGCUUUUGUGGGGUGCUCGAGUGGCGAACGGGUGAGUAACACGUGAGUAACCUGCCCUUGACUUUGUGAUAACUUCUGGAAACUGGGGCUAAUACCGGAUAGGAGCUCCUGCUGCAUGGUGGGGGUUGGAAAGUUUCGGCGGUUGUGGAUGGACUCGCGGCUUAUCAGCUUGUUGGUGGGGUAGUGGCUUACCAAGGCUUUGACGGGUAGCCGGCCUGAGAGGGUGACCGGCCACAUUGGGACUAAGAUACGGCCCAGACUCCUACGGGAGGCAGCAGUGGGAAGUAUUGCACAGUGGGCGGAAGCCUGAUGCAGCAACGCCGCGUGCGGGAUGAUGGCCUUCGGGUUGUAAACCGCUUUCGCCUGUGACGAAGCCUGAGUGACGGUAAUGGGUAAAGAAGCACCGGCUAACUACGUG